UGCAGUCGAACGAAGGCUUCGGCCUUAGUGGCGCACGGGUGAGUAACACGUGGGAACCUGCCUUUCGGUUCGGAAUAACGUCUGGAAACGGACGCUAACACCGGAUACGUCCUUCGGGGGAAAGUUUACGCCGAGAGAGGGGCCCGCGUCGGAUUAGGUAGUUGGUGUGGUAACGGCGCACCAAGCCGACGAUCCGUAGCUGGUCUGAGAGGAUGAUCAGCCACACUGGGACUGAGACACGGCCCAGACUCCUACGGGAGGCAGCAGUGGGGAAUAUUGGACAAUGGGCGCAAGCCUGAUCCAGCAAUGCCGCGUGAGUGAUGAAGGCCUUAGGGUUGUAAAGCUCUUUCGCACGCGACGAUGAUGACGGUAGCGUGAGAAGAAGCCCCGGCUAACUUCGUGCCAGCAGCCGCGGUAAUACGAAGGGGGCUAGCGUUGUUCGGAAUUACUGGGCGUAAAGGGCGCGUAGGCGGCCUGUUUAGUCAGAAGUGAAAGCCCCGGGCUCAACCUGGGAAUAGCUUUUGAUACUGG
rnacentral:rRNA from 1 species